GACGAACGCUGGCGGCGCGCCUAACACAUGCAAGUCGAACGAGCGAGAGAGAGCUUGCUUUCUCAAGCGAGUGGCGAACGGGUGAGUAACGCGUGAGGAACCUGCCUCAAAGAGGGGGACAACAGUUGGAAACGACUGCUAAUACCGCAUAAGCCCACGACCCGGCAUCGGGUUGAGGGAAAAGGAGCAAUCCGCUUUGAGAUGGCCUCGCGUCCGAUUAGCUAGUUGGUGAGGUAAAGGCUCACCAAGGCGACGAUCGGUAGCUGGUCUGAGAGGACGACCAGCCACACUGGGACUGAGACACGGCCCAG
rnacentral:rRNA from 1 species